rnacentral:rRNA from 1 species
GUAGUCUGCAACCCGACUACAUGAAGCUGGAAUCGCUAGUAAUCGCAGAUCAGAAUGCUGCGGUGAAUACGUUCCCGGGCCUUGUACACACCGCCCGUCACACCAUGGGAGUUUGUAACGCCCAAAGUCGGUGGCCUAACCUUUAUGGAGGGAGCCGCCUAAGGCGGGACAGAUGACUGGGGUGAAGUCGUAACAAGGUAUC